CAGGACGAACGCUGGCGGCAUGCCUAACACAUGCAAGUCGAACGGGGGUAGCAAUACCCUAGUGGCGAACGGGUGAGUAACACAUAAGCAAUCUGCCCUUCACAGGGGGAUAACAGCGGGAAACUGCUGCUAAUACCGCAUAAGACCACGGUACCGCAUGGUACAGGGGUAAAAACGAAUCAGUGGUGAAGGAUGAGCCUAUGUCCCAUUAGCUAGUUGGUGAGAUAACAGCCCACCAAGGCGACGAUGGGUAGCCGACCUGAGAGGGUGAUCGGCCACACUGGAACUGAGGCACGGUCCAGACUCCUACGGGAGGCAGCAGUGGGGAAUAUUGGGCAAUGGAGGAAACUCCUUACCCAGCAAUGCCGCGUGAGUGAAGAAGGUCUUCGGAUUGUAAAGCUCUUUGAUUGGGGACGAAGAAAGUGACGGUACCCAAAGAACAAGCCCCGGCUAACUACGUGCCAGCAGCUGC
rnacentral:rRNA from 1 species